GGUCUAUAGUGCUCUAGCUAACCUAGUUAGUUAGUCAUUCAUUUACUUGCUAGUCUCCCCGAGUUAUCAUGUUUAACUGCACCUGUAUCAACACCCUUAAAAAGUGUACCAUGGAUGAAGUAACAGUUGACUAUCUUGUGUGCGUUGGAGCUCCUUUACUAGGAACUGCUCUUCUGUUCCUUUGUAUGGUUGCAUGCUGCGUUGGAUGCAUUCACAAAAGAAGAAGGAAAAAUAAAAAACCAAGAAAUGAUCAAUCAGGAUUAGAAACACAAGAAAGAAGCAGCCCCAUAGAUUUGGCAACUGGACAAAUAAACGGACAGCAAGAAACAGCCAUGCCCCAAAGUAUAUCCUCGUCUGUUGAAAUGAACACCAAUUGUCAGCAAGUUGUCACAAAAAAAUCAAAACCACAAGAUUUCAGUCAACAUGCUGCAUCAGAACGUCAAAUGCCUAUAUUUCCGUUAGCACGAAGCCACGAGCAUGUAUCUAGCGUCUCUACUACGCCUCGGCAUAACCCGAACAUUGCUAAAAGCCUGACUUUUGAUAGCAGCUCUAUACAAGCGCCAAAACUGUGGAAAGAAAGGAACAAUUACGACAAAUUAGUAAGAGAGAAGGAAACGAAGAAGCAAAUUGCAAAAGAAAUUGAACCUAAUUAUGAGGAUUUGGCCACACUCGAGCAGACAAUGCAUUCUCAGCAAAUCAUUACAAACAAGUCUGAGCAGGAGCAAAAAAAUAUAAAAGGGAUUUCUGAGAGCAACCAUGAAUAUGAAGAAUUGACGAAAGUAACUGAUGAUAGCAAGAUACCGAAUACUCCCACUCACGGUCGGUACAAUGUGCUGACUACGGCAACAGACAUCAACCCUUUUCAAGAUGCUGUCGUACAAGAGGAUACUGCUGAAAAUAUUAACGAAGACAAGUAUUACAGCAUAACAAGGGUGCACAGAUUAGUCCCUGUGGGCAAACCGAUCAAUCAACGUAACAAUGAUGCUCUUUAUCAAGCUCUUGAAGAGCCAGUAUCUCAAUCAAACUACAGCUGCAAUCAGGUACAGCCAAGGCAUAACACCUUCGCGAGCUGGACCACUAAUCCUAAGGGAGGGGCUGAGGAUAAUCUGGUUCGUUCUUAUAGUCACAGUCUGGAGAAAUUGGAUCCGAUGUAUGACGAGCCCUUCAAAGAGGAGCAGAGGUCAACACCACAGCUAGAUAUUUACAAUGUCGACUCACUCUUCGAUGAUCCAAAGUAUGUAUCGAAGGAUCACACUGAUCGAACUUUUUCUACUGAAUGUCCUGUGAGAGGUGCCUCGUUGACUGCACAUUCACCGGGGAAACAAGAAAGCAAAGCGGCAAUGCGAAAAACCAAAUAAGGAAUUUACCAUUUGUGUGCUGUGUGAUACCCUUUAGUUUAUUGUGUGUUGUUACUAUAAGUUAGAGACAUUGUAUGGCCUUAUUUUGUAUUCAGAAGUGAUAGACAAUAAGUAUUUUCCCUUCUGUUAAUGUCCCAAUGCAACAACACAGCAGAUGAAUGCUGAUAGCUAGAUACAAUAUGAUGCUCCCAUGCAUGCAGUGUAACAGAUUUCACUCAUAAUUAUAUAGUCUUUUAAAAGCUGGAGCUCAUCAUAAACCUAGUUUGAUCUGAUAUCUAGCUUCACCUAUAUACCAUUCCCCUGCAACCUCAACAAAUCACUGUUCAGAUGGGUUAUUGCAUGACAACUGUGAUUAACUACUUUGUGUGCUUUGGAGUUCCAAGCGUUGUACUAGUUUUGCUUCUAUGCAUCGGAAUUGUGUGCUGUACAGGGAUAUGUGUUCAUAAGAGAAGGAAGAGAAGGAAAGCUUCUGCAAAUCUCUCAAAUGAAAGCAACGAACACCCAGAGUUGGAUGCUCAAAAUGUGACUGUCCCAAUAAACCUGGCAACAGGACAGCUGAACCAGCAAGAGCUCAUCACCUCUGCUUUGAGUACAGAGAAGGUUAGCUACAGAGAAGAGGUCGAGCUCAAGAAAAAUUACACAGACAUGGAAACAAUUGCAAUUGAACAGCAAGUAGUACCAGUAUCGCAUCCAUUACCGAAAAUCCAUGAGCAAAUGACAAGUAUCUCUACGGAGCAGAACACAACUAUGUUUGUUCACAGUACUACCCAUGACCUAGUCAAUACCAUAGCAACAGAUACUCUCGUCAAAUGCCCACAGCCUUCAAAACUGAAGAAAGUACCCUCGUAUGAAGAAAUACAAAUGACUGAAUCACAGAAAGAAAUCCUUCAAGUAGAUGAGCCAAAGUAUGAUGACAUACUGGGUGCAACGGAGGUGAAGCAACAGACAGUUAGUGUUCCUGCUGACGGUGACCCUCGAUAUUACAUCUUGUGCGAUCCAAACGAACCUGAUGAAGAGGGACACAGUCAGCAACCAACUAUCAGAAGUGGUAACGUUUUAGGAGAGGCAAAAAUGCAAUUAACUCGCACCGCUCAAUCUCAUGAGCAUUUCUAUGAAGAGGUGGCAGAUACAGUGAGUGCUGAACAGACUGAGAAUACCUCUCAAGGUCGAUACAAUGUACUGGCUACUGCAAUGGACAACCAAGAUGCUGUUGUUCAAGAGGACACCACUGAACAUUUGAAUGAUGAAAAAUAUUAUAGCACGACUAGAGUGCACAGAUUAGUGCCUGUGGGUAAACCAAUUGAACGACUCACAAACAAAGAUAAUCUCUACCAAAUUCUUGAUUCGCAAAAGCCUCACUGGGAGUACGACCAAGUACAGUUACAACAUAACACUGCUACGAGCGCUUGCAACUUUGAAAGGUCCACCGAUAAUCUGAGCCGUUCCCACAGUACUACUGGCCGCAGUUUUGAGAAGCUAGACCCUAUGUAUGACGAACCCUUCAAACCCCAGAGGUCAAGUUCUCUCUCCAAGGUAGACAUCUACGAUAUGGAUUGCCUUUUUGAUGAUCCUAAGUACGGAACAAAACGCUCUGCCAUAAAACGAUCCACUGAUCAGCUGUUUGAUGAGCCAGGCUACACCACUCACACUGAGGCUAAGGAAUUAUCGAAAAGGCACGUGUCAUUCACUGCACAGUACGAGUCCUUGCAGGGCAAGAAGUGUUCAAGUAGAGCAGCAGCUCUUAGAAAGACUAAAUAGCAUUAGAAACAUUACUUUACAGAAAGCAAUCAGAACUAUAGCAUAGAAACAUUAUUUUACAGAGAACUAUAAAUUAUACGAACAAAGCUUACACAGCAUUAGUCUGCUAUGUACAAAUGUACCGGUAUAUGUACAAACCGUUUUGCUUAUGCAUCCAUGCAUGCACGUUAACAUUUAAUUUGUUGUACUUGUAUAGGUGCGUGUUCAUAUUUUAUAAUAAUAAUUUCUGUUGUAGUGUAUCAGGACUAAUUUUGUCAAAGAAUAAUAACAAGAGUAGAGCAGCGAA